rnacentral:rRNA from 1 species
GUCCACGCCCUAAACGUUGUGAACUAGGUGUUGGUCGGAUUGACCCGAUCAGUGCCGCAGCUAACGCAUUAAGUUCACCGCCUGGGGACUACGGCCGCAAGGUUAAAACUCAAAGGAAUAGGCGGGGCCCGCACAAGCAGCGGAGCGUGUGGUUUAAUUCGAGGCAACGCGAAGAACCUUACCUGGGUUUGACAUGCACAGGAAAUUUUGGUGAAAGCCAGAACCUCCCGCAAGGGACUUGUGCGCAGGUGGUGCAUGGCUGUCGU